UCCAACAGAUGCAAGAGGUUCAGCAGGCUGCGAGAGCCGUGUGUCAGAGAAAGCAGAAGUCAGAAUGCAGAUUUGAUGCCCACCAUUCCCACCCCCUUAAAUCAGAGGAUUCCAGCAGAUUCAUUUUCUGCCACUGUGAGAAGCAACACGGAGGGGAAACAAGGCUUCCUGAGAUAGAGUACAAUGGCACUUAUGCCAUGACAGCACACUGGGACAGAUGGAGGGAGCUGAUCCUGCCUGACAAGUGAAAGCAACAUGUGCUUUGCUACCUACUCCAGCCCUGAUGGGAAAACCCUUCCCUCCACUUAUGAUUACCUUAAUGCCAAAGAGUGGAGUAGUUCUGGUCCCACACACAUCUCCUGGAUCAACACCAGGUGCCGGGGGCUGACAUAAGCUCCCUUCAGCUGAGCUAUGUUGGUGUGAUGAAGCUUCCUGAGGACCUGGUACUCCAGCAGCACGCUCUGCUUGUCCUCUUGCCAGUAAGGGAUAAUUUUAGCAGCUAAAGUCUUGCCGCUUACUUUUUCCCUGCACUGUCGGACGAUGCUGAACCGCCCCCUGGUACAAAGGAACACAAAGGCAAGUUAAGCUUCUCUGCUACUCCUGGAAGAGCCAGGAGCUUCUGUAUUUCAAGAUCAUAUGGAUCCCAUGCUGUGUUUUUCAUCCCUCCCCUAUGUUGAGUUACUGCAGCAACUGUCACACUUUGCACGUCCUCCCGUGUCUCUAAACUGUGCAGUCACUUCAAACUGCAGCACGUGCAGCACUUCCUGCUGGCUGGUUGAGUGCUCAGCUGGAUUCCCUACCUUUUGAUCUCUGUUUGGAAGGCGUAGGUCUGGUAGGUUGGGAAAGGUUCGGGUGGUGCAAUUAUUUCACUCUCUUCCUCAGCUGUUGGGAAAUUCUGCAUUGCAGCAGGGAAUUCUGCAGAGAAGAAGUGGCAAUGAUUACAUGGGAAAACAACUGUGUGGAAACCAGAGCUUCUCUGAGCUGCUAUGGACUAUGCACUACCUAUGGACAAAUAAAGGUGACGGUGGGGCUUUCUGCAUGGAAGUCUGCAUGUUGGCUCCUGUUUGCAGCACAAAGUUCGAUGUGAAUGCAGCAGAUUCUGGAAUGGACAGCCAGCAAUUCCCUGGUGGAACCCCUCCUGAUUGGUGUAGGUUGCAUGUGGUGACAGGUUUACAGUUGGACUUAAUGAUCUCAGAGUCAUUAAGGCUGGGAAAGACCUCUGUGAUUCUCCACCUCGUCUCAACUAAGAGAGGCCAGAAUUCAUGAGAUCUCAUUGGGAACAGAAUCCUUCCCUUCCAGAAGAGAGCUUUGGUGCUUAACGGCUCAUUCACACUCACACAUGCAGCCUCCUCGGAGACACAGACAAGGAUACAACUCCAAGAUCAAAAUCAGGGUUUUCCGCGUUUCAAACUGAUCCAGCAGCCUGGUGAUCCUGUCGUGGGACAGAGAGGACAGAAUGUCCCUCUCCUGAUGCGCCCGAGCCUUCGUUUUGCUUCGCAGAGGGAUGAAUUUGGCAGCACAAGACACUCCGUUCCCUUUGUGUACAACUCGUUUCACAAAGCUGAAGCAGCCCCUGGGCAGAAUCAGAGGACAAACCCGGCUCAGCCCCACUUCAAAGCUCUUGCUCAGCAGGUGAGGACCUUUCCCUGCCCCAGCCUUGACGGCUCCUGCUGCUCAGGGCUUACAUUCUCCAACACAGCUCUGAUUUCCCUGUGUGUGAGCUGCUAUUGCCCUCUCCUGGCUGUCUCUAAAACUAAGCAGCGAGUUCCCGUUGAAGGAAAAACCUCUUCCAGAUGUGUGCUGACAAAGGCUGAUGCUCUCAGAUCCCUUGGAUGAACGCGGCGCUGGUGCCUACACUGCUGUGGUCUUUUGAGCUUAGUAUUGCCCAAGAGCCAUACAUGGGCACCUACUCAUGGAAUCAUUAAGGUUGGAAAGACCACUAGGGCCAUCCAGUCCAACCAUCAGCCCAUGUCUGUGAUCACCACAGGCCGUGUCACUCAGUGCGACCUCAAAACCCCCAAGCACUUUAUCAAUUGGAGUGACCUGUGGGCUCCAUGCACUCUCCCAGCCUAUCAGAAACUUCAGAACAGAGUUCCCAGCACCCCUGUAUCAAGGCAAUCUCCCACUUGGAUUUAUUCACGGUUCUGCCUCUUGUUCCUGCUGCUGGCAGCUCGGGUGGGCAACUGGAUGUUGGAAAAUGUUGGAUGCUGGAAAACCCAUUUACCUUCCAAUCUCCUGCUUAACCUCAUACAGGGAAUGGAGUUUUCUCCGGGUGGCCACUUUCUUUGCUGCUUGGUCUUUCUUAGCUUUGGAAAGGAAGAAAAAUAUGAAGGUUAAUAUUCAGAUCGCCAAUGGUGUGCAAAGUUAUUUCAGGACAGCGAAAGGCAGGAAAAUGUGCAGGGCUCCUCUAAGCUUCUGCAGAGUUUGGUAUAGCUGUUGGAUUACACAACUUGCCAACGUGAACACUGCAGCAUGGCCGUGCUUAUUUCUGCUGCCCAUGGUGUCACUUCAUCACAUAGUCUCAAGCAGAGAUAAAAGAAACAAAGAAGCCCAACUCAUUUGCUCUUUGCAGGUCAUUAGAAGAUUUCCCUUUAUACAGGAUAAUGCCAUACUGCUAUCAUGCAGAUGCUAAGCUGGAACACGUGGCAGACACCAAAGGAAGAUGAAUACACACUGCAGAGGUUAUUGAAGCAGCUCACGCAGCUCAAAGAACGGUGUUACCUUCAUGUACAACAAGCUCUGCUUUGCACAAAACCUCCCCUCCUGCAUUUUUGGCAACACAGGUAUAAACACCACCAUCUUCUGAGACAACGUUGUCCAGGAUUAAGAAAUAAGUCGUUCCUGCCUUCCCUUGAUGGAGCCUAACGCUGUCUGUCAGCAGUGUGGUGCCCUGAAAGAAUGGAACCACUUUUUGUUAUUGGAGAACCAAGAUGGAAACAGAUGUUUCUUCUCUUCAAGAAAUGAGAAAGAAGAGCAGAGUUACAAUACAUACUUUUCCAUCUACCGAAGUCACUAACAAAAUGCUUGCUGAAGAAGAACCCAUGGCUAAAUGUUUUUCUGCUUAUACAACAUUUCUAUUUCAGAGCCUAUACAUUAGAAUGAGGGCUGGGGAGGGAUCCAGCUCUGGAUGUGGUUCAUUCUUUGGCUUUUCCAGCACGCCAAGCCUGCCUGACUGGGCAGGAAGAUAUCAGAUGAAAUCUAAUACAGAUUGAUUUAGGAGUGAUGCAAUAUUUGAGGGGGAAAGCAGUAUUCUGGGAAACGACAAAUGAUUUCUCAUACUUUUUAUUGCAUUAUUUACUGUCCUUGCACUGUUUACCAAGUAACUAUGAAAAAGAUACAGAGCCUGAAAGUCAUGUUGACAAUUGGAGUAAACAUUCUUAAUCCCAUUCCUGACCCUAAAAACGACAGCAUACACCUCGGUGGCUCUCAGACCGACACCAACCUCCCUUCCUGCCUAUUUAUGUACCCAAAAUGAUCUUAUGGAAGGAGCCCCAGUGACACUGGAACAUCACAAAGCAAAAUUCAAGUGUGGUGGAUCCAGGGAGAACUGCAGUUAAUUAAAAACAAAAACAAAAACAAACACAUCUACAGAUAAGAUUCAGUGUAGCAGGUGUAGAAUGACACAGCAAAAAGGCUUUCCCCAUAGAAGCGUUGUUUUGCAGCCCUUUCUGUGCUCCUCAUCCUCAGCCAGGAACACAUUUGCCCUUACCUUAAACCACAGAACAGUAGGUGGAGGGGUCCCUUCGAUGACUGCCUGAAAUUUGGCACGCUCCCCAGCAUCCACCUGCACAUCCUCUAUUGUCACUUGCAUAUAGGGAGGACCUGGUGAGACACAAUGCUUUGCUGGACCAUGACUUUGCUCAUGCUGUGCUGAUGUAGGUUCAGUGACUCUAAUGGGAUUUCCAGACCCAGGGUGUGACACUGGCUUAAUUUCAAAUCGAGAGAUAUCAGUGAAAUAUUUGAGUUUCUUUAUGGUGGCAUUACUUUUAGGCUCCUGCAUGCUUGUUACUUUUUGUUUAGUAAACAGUUACUGGUGAAGGAGAUGAAUUAUCUCAAACAAAGCCACAGGGAAGACAGUGAUAAUCACAGGACCUGAGAAACAGAGACAAGGCUCCUCCUUACUUGUUGGGGUCUUCUCCUCAGUCUUAUACACACGGGUUCGUUCUGUGGUCUCAAUAUAAACUUCACUGUGUACGUCCCAGAACACAUCCCCUUCUCUCCUGUACCAGUCUCCUGUCCCCGCAGCCGGUCGUAUUCUUUCACGAAGCCCAAGAGAAAAAGACCCAGUCACACAACUGCAGAGCUAUAGGAUUACAUUGAACUAUGAGUUUAACCACCAGAUUAACCAACAUCUACUUGAAAUUAAUACAAAAAGAAUUUUGAUCCGGUGGAGUUCAUUUCUCUCCAAUAUUUUGCAUCCUUCUUGUGCAGUGCAGAAGACAAGAAUGAGUUCAAGUCUCCACUAGCUUCCCUACAGAGGAGAAUCUGUGUAUUACAGUGUAUGUUUACCUGGAAAUGGGAACAGUGCGCUCCUGAGUGCUUUCAGCUCCUUUAGAUGUCUCCUCAUGGGAAAGACCAAGGCUGGGCAUUGGUACGCUUGGUUCUUCAGUUGGAAUCUGCCCUUGUGCUUUGUCUGAUAGCAGAAAUAGGGAAAGUUAGGCACAUCAGCUGUGAGGGCACAUCUGAAAACCAGAGCAAACCUGUGAAGCCAUCUCUAGUCUGCCUGGUGUCGGCACAGAAUUUUUCUAGCCUCAGCUGAGUGCAAUCAUUGAAGCUAAGGGGAGAAUUCAGCCCUUUUGAGACAACCAUAUAAAGCAAAGGCCUUGAACAACAGCAGGGAGGCUGAAUGGACACAAAGCUGACUGGCAGCACAAGUUUUUCUACAGGGAAACACAUGCAGACACAGACCUACCCUGCCCCCCAGCAGCCUGGGUUUGGGUGCUGACUUCGUGGAGCAGCAGAGGCCCAACUGCUCCAUGGUCACCUCCUGGUGUGUCGGGGGGAAGAGUCACAAGCAGUGAUGCUGAGUCCACGAGCUUCUUCAGAGCUGUCUUGAUCUCCUUAUCAGCACGCCGAAGGGAGGCCUGGACGGAGGUCUCCAGCUCUGACUGUGGAGAUGGUUUUCCUACAGACAAGAAGAACUGCAUUUCUCUCUUUGGUGCAAAAAGAAAACAGUGGCAGCAUGCAACCCAUUGCAGUCAGAUGGAACAUCUGUCUUCGCGUCCCUCCCCUUCUCCUAGAGCUCACAACAAGGAGACAGGCACACAGACUUUGACAGACACAUCCCACCAGGACAAGGACACUCCCAGACUGUGGAAAGAGGGAUUUGUUUCCUGGCUCAACCCUACGUUGUCUGGUUGGGCAGAUAUACUUCCACUGGGGUCAGUGAAACAAAGCCAGUGGUGAUGCACUGCACUCACAGAGAGGCUGGGUGCAAGGAGGAGGUUAUUAUCUCUGGGAAGGGGGAGUGAGCGCUUACCAGACUCACCACUGCCCCUUGAAGAAGGGUUGCUGCUUCCUGAGCCUGCAAGGAAGGAUGGCACAGAAGGCCCUGAAGCUCCUUGAAGCUUGCAGGAGAACGUUUUUGUCCUACUUUGUGGUAUGCAGGUUUGCAUGACACCUUUUAAAUUUGCACCUGAUGGUGCUUUUGCAAGCCAGCUCUAAAGGCAAGGUCACUUGUGUAUACAGUACUGCAAAAUGACAGUGACAGAGAAGCGUUGUAGAGGAAGAUGUAAUUUCUGCCUCAAGAAAUGACAGCUUUGAAGGAAGAGAGAUGACAAAGCUUUCCAGACAAAAAUAGAUUCUCGAGCACAUCGCUGCAGGACAGACACCCAGGAGACAAACAGCACAGACAUCCCCAGUCAGCAGAACAGAGCAUAGGCCAAGGUGGGGAUAUUGGGUGAAUCAGAUGGGGAAGGACCUCAGGAGCUGAUCUGAUCCAACCUCCUGCCCAGCACUCCUUAAACAAAUCUUGAUGAGGCACAACAAAGGGGCAGGAGAUAUCUAAGGAUGCUAAAACACUCAUCAAAGACAGACAAAACCCAUAUCAGAUUACAGCUAUUCAUCAUAGUCACAAAGAGUACAAACUUGAAUAAACAUGCAGUCCGUGAUAAAAAGCUCUGCUUUAGACACCCCUUCUGGUUGCCCAAGCCUUUAUUAUUUUAAACAUACUUCCCAUGUGUAUGAAAAUGUGUU